rnacentral:rRNA from 1 species
AAAAACAUCGCCUUCUGAAAAAAAUAGAAGGUCCAGCCUGCCCAGUGACCAAGUUAAACGGCCGCGGUACCCUAACCGUGCGAAGGUAGCGCAAUCACUUGUUCUUUAAAUGAGGACUAGUAUGAACGGCAUCACGAGGGUUACACUGUCUCCCACCUCUAAUCAGUUAAACUGAUCCCCCCGUGAAGAAGCGGGGAUAAAAAUAUAAGACGAGAAGACCCCAUGGAGCUUUAAACCCAGCACCAAUUAUCUAUUAUUACAUCAUAAAAGCCCGAUAAUACUGGCUGCCGGUUUUAGGUUGGGGCGACCACGGAGUACAACACAACCCCCAUGAUGAAAGGCUCUCCCUUUAAUCCGAGAGUUACAACUCUAAGAAUCAAAAACUGACAUACAUUGACCCAAAUAUUUUGAUCAACGAACCAAGUUACCCUGGGGAUAACAGCGCAAUCCAUUUCAAGAGCUCCUAUCGACAAAUGGGUUUACGACCUCGAUGUUGGAUCAGGGUAUCCCAGUGGUGCAGCCGCUACUAAAGGUUCGUUUGUUCAACGAUUAAAACCCUACGUGAUCUGAG